CAAAGCGAGUGCAGCGUGUUAGCAGACCGUCUCAAUAUUAUUUUCUUAAAUCUAACUUAAUUAUUAUACUACCUAGUGGAUUAACUAAAACUUAUAUCUAAAUUGUUACUACUUAGCUAGGGUGUAUACCAAUCACGAGUAUAGUACGGAUAGGUUAGUGAUUAGUACGUACAUAGUUCAAGGUGAGCUUUCUUUAAAAUUGCUAUUAGUGCUGUGGAUUAAAUAAUUACUCCGCAUAUUUCGAAUACAGCAGGAUCAUAUAUCGCACGUUCAGGUGCUUAUGACUGAUUAGGAAAACUACUGUACUAGAGCUACGUCAUACCUGCGGGUUAGGAUACGCCGUUGCCCGACAGCUAGAAAUACUAAGCGAAUUUUAUAAUCCUAAUAAAGAAAUUCGAGGAUUUAUAAAACUUAAUUAUUUUCUGUCGCUGUCGAGUAACA